GAAACAAGUGUACAAAUCUGAAGUAAAGAAAACAUUACUAGGGGAGAAUCUUGAAAUAGAAAGAUGCUCAAGAUCUAAGCCAGGAACGUCUCAGGCAUGGAAUGAGCAAACAUAGCCUUUGUGUGCAAAGACCUUGGGAGUUUUCUUGGGAAUUCCAUCAAGAAGGUCUGCUCUGCCUAUCACCACAGACUCUAGUCUUCAGCUGGGGCAGAACCCCCUGUGCCUUACUAUUUGCCACUUGUCAAGUCCACAAUGAUAUUGGCAAGUCAGCACCAGGUCUGAACUCUACUCUCUUUGUGGAACGGGAACUCUUUUCAGAAGACUUUGCUUUUUCUCAUAAGCUGACCCAGAAAAUCAAGUAUCUGGCCCCUUUUACCCCUGUGAUGGAGGAGAGCAUUCUUGGGAAUAGAUGUCAAGUGAACCAACCUGUGGGAUUUACCUCUAUUAGGGAGGCGACUACUUCAUGUAAUUUUCAGUAUGCAGAGGAUUUGAGGAAAAACUUAACACCAAAAAUUUAG
rnacentral:lncRNA from 1 species